rfam:Gossypium raimondii Chr12_contig_340, whole genome shotgun sequence.
UGUUAUAACUCUCAUCUAUUUGUACCGUUAAAAACUAGUGUGAUUGAUAAAAUAACCAAAAGACGACACGUUGCAUACCACAUGUAUAUCAUGCUGAUGUACAUAGAUAGUUUUUAAUAGUAAAAAUAGAUGAAAAUUUUAACA